GCCGUGGGGCGGCAGUGCUUGAGGUUGCUGCACGGGAUCGAGCCGUGGCGGAGCAGGAUAUAGAGGGCCAAGAAUGAAAACUGGAGACUGGAGAACAGGCCUUCACAGUCAUCUGCCUCCUUCACUGUGAGAACACUGCUGUGAGCCACUUC